GGCCAGUUAGCUCAGUUGGUUAGAGCAUGGUGUUGGAAACACCAAGGUCAAGGGUUCAGAUCUCUGUACUGGCCA